UACGGGGGGGGCAAGCGUUGUUCGGAAUUACUGGGCGUAAAGGGCUCGUAGGCGGCCAACUAAGUCAGACGUGAAAUCCCUCGGCUUAACCGGGGAACUGCGUCUGAUACUGGAUGGCUCGAGUUUGGGAGAGGGAUGCGGAAUUCCAGGUGUAGCGGUGAAAUGCGUAGAUAUCUGGAGGAACACCGGUGGCGAAGGCAGCCUCCUGGGCCAACACUGACGCUCAUGCACGAAAGCGUGGGGAGCAAACAGG
rnacentral:rRNA from 1 species